UUGAGGGGAAUGUCGUCUGG
rnacentral:miRNA from 1 species